rnacentral:rRNA from 1 species
AGACGGGGCCCGCACAAGCGGUGGAGCAUGUGGUUUAAUUCGAUGAUACGCGAAAAACCUUACCCGGGCUUGACAUGCAUCAGACAGGCGUAGAGAUACGCCCUCCGCGAGGCUGGUGCACAGGUGCUGCAUGGUUGUCGUCAGCUCGUGUCGUGAGAUGUUGGGUUAAGUCCCGCAACGAGCGCAACCCUUAUCAUUAGUUGCUACGCAAGGGCACUCUAAUGAGACUGCCGGUGACAAACCGGAGGAAGGUGGGGAUGACGUCAAGUCCUCAUGGCCCUUAUGGGUAGGGCUUCACACGUCAUACAAUGGUCGGUACAGAGGGUUGCCAAGCCGCGAGGUGGAGCCAAUCCCAGAAAGCCGAUCGUAGUCCGGAUUGUUCUCUGCAACUCGAGAGCAUGAAGUCGGAAUCGCUAGUAAUCGCGGAUCAGCAUGUCGCGGUGAAUACGUUCCCGGGUCUU